rnacentral:rRNA from 1 species
CGGAACCUUUAGAGAUAGAGGGGUGCUCGAAAGAGAGCCGUAACACAGGUGCUGCAUGGCUGUCGUCAGCUCGUGUCGUGAGAUGUUGGUUAAGUCCCGCAACGAGCGCAACCCUUGUCAUUAGUUGCUACAUUCAGUUGGGCACUCUAAUGAGACUGCCGGUGACAAGCCGGAGGAAGGUGGGGAUGACGUCAAGUCCUCAUGGCCCUUAUAGGUGGGCUACACGCGUCAUACAAUGGCUGGUACAAAGGGUUGCCAACCCGCGAGGGGGAGCCAAUCCCAUAAAGCCAGUCGUAGUCCGGAUCGUAGUCUGCAACUCGACUACGUGAAGUCGGAAUCGCUAGUAAUCGUGGAUCAGAAUGUCACGGUGAAUACGUUCCCGGGUCUU